rnacentral:rRNA from 1 species
UACGGAGGGUGCAAGCGUUAAUCGGAAUUACUGGGCGUAAAGCGCACGCAGGCGGUCUGUCAAGUCGGAUGUGAAAUCCCCGGGCUCAACCUGGGAACUGCAUCCGAAACUGGCUGGCUAGAGUGUGGCAGAGGGGGGUGGAAUUCCGGCGUGUAGCAGUGAAAUGCGUAGAGAUGCGGAGGAACACCGAUGGCGAAGGCAGCCCCCCUGGGCUGACACUGACGCUCAGGCACGAAAGCGUGGGGAGCAAACAGGAUUAGAGUACCCUG